UGAUUGCGUAAUGUUUCGAUACUACAUCUACACGUUCAAUAAUAUUGUGCAAUCACCUGUAUUGCGCAAUAUAUUAUUGACCGUGUGUAGCAGGCCUUAGGAAUAUUAUUUCGUAUGCAUAUUUCAACACUGUCCGUAGGGACCGCGUGCGUGAGCUAUAGAGAGCAGGACUACAGUCGAUGAGCGCGCUGCGCUCUCUCGUCGUGUCUGAAUAUGCGAUUUUUCUGAUGAUAUUUUGACUGUAUAUCAUUGAAAAUAAUUAAUUUUUCGGAAAAAAAUAAUGAUUAAAGUAAUCAAAUACGGUUUUUGUCCGAUCAACAAUGAUCGCAUUAAAAAUCAAAAUGACGUAAAAGGAAAAAAACUGUUUGAAUCGAAUGACGUUUUAAAUGUCGUCGCGAAACAGAAAUAAGUUUAGUGGAUGAGUUGAGAGUGUUUAACGUUUAGAUCCAUUUUUGGUCCGUUUCUCACUUUUCCAUGCGGAGAAUGGACUGUGUGCCCAGAGCAGGCUCUGGGAAAUAAUAAAAUUUUACUGGAUAUAUACUUGAACGUCUCGACACGUAGAAAUUGUGCAUUAGAGUACUGCUUUGGAAUGCAACAAUAUUUUCUCGAUGGAGACAUGAUAAAAAAUAAUAAUGUUAUUUUGUUAAAUAAUAUAUGCGAAAAGUAAUAAUUGCCAUGUGCGCCUGCUUCAAAUAGCACCUAGGAAGUUUUGAAAUUGUCCACAUAGUGACGACACUGUAGAUGCUGCGCGCACGGUCCCUUGUGAUAAGAGCGAGACGCGGUGAAGGUCACCCUGCGAAGGACGUCGGCAAGCUCAUGUAUUCGGUUAUACUUUUUCGCGACACGCUGAUGAGACGAAAACUUGAUUUCGGUGGAGGGAUAUGUUGGGUUACUACGCACGACAGUUUCGGUUCUCGAUUCAUCGUCAUAAAAACAGGCUAUAUAACCCAAACAAGCCGGAACAUCCCGCCUAUAUAUGACUGAAACACGCCGAGACAUGGUUGCGACCCCAAAAACGGCUUCGACCCAAACAAACCAAAAGACGGCUUCUGAAAUAUUAAAUAAACUUGGGUUGAUAUAAUUGAGAGAUUGAUACGCCUUGAGUGCACGACACGUUGUUACAUAGAAUAAAUAAAGCUCUUUUAUUGUAAUUGUUUACAAAGCUUGACAAUAAUUUGAAUGUACCAACUAAGCGCGCACGCCCAUCUAAACGAACGUACAUAAAUAUAAAAAAUGUUAAUUUUUCUUUUUCAUUUACGUAAUAGACAAAUAUACUACGAGGGGUUCACACGGCUCGCAUCGUUACGCCGCCAUAAUAUUAGUAUGAAUGGGGAUGAGGUUGAAACACUUUCAAUAUAAGCUGCGAUAUAUAACUCUGAUUUAUAACUUGACAAAAAAAAAUACACUUGUUUCUGUUUA